GGUAUAAAACCCAUUUGGGCGAGAGUAGUACUAGGAUGGGUGACCUCCUGGGAAGUCCUCGUGAAAGGGUUUCAUAUCUAGCCUACCCCAACUUGUUUGGGAUAAAAGGCUUCGUAAGUAAGUAAGUAAGUAAGGGAAUUCCUGACUCUUGUGAGACAAAAGAAUCCUAAAAUCCGUGAGUUUGAGCUUGAAGAAAGCUGGACGCGUAAGGUCCAAUCCACUCCUCUUCUCAAAGAAUUCCAUGACAAAGGGGAAGAAGAAAAGAUGCUGAAGAGAAAAGGCCGAAUGGCUGUUGAGGAAAGUCAGCAGGGGCUUGCCAAGAAGGCGAAGACAUGGAGUAAAGACGGAACCAAAGAAAAACAGAGUCUGAAGAGAAAAAGUCAAAUGGCUGAUGAGGGAAGUGGGGUUGACAAGUUGCAGCAGAGCUGGCAUGCUUGGCUGGCGUCUAAAGGACCGGGGAAGCAAUCUGCACGAAUUCUGCAGGGUAGAGGGAGUAGACCUCCAGAAUCUGAGAAAAAGACUAUCACAGAGGAUGAGGAUCAAGAAGGCAGGGAGGGCUGGCUGUCUAAAGGACCGGGGAAGCAGCAGUCUGCACGAAUUCUGCAGGGUAGAGGGAGUAGACCUCCAGAAUCUGAAACAAAGACUAUCACGGAGGAUGAGAAUGAGGAUCAAGAAGGCAGGGAUGGCUGGCUGGUUAUGGACAAUCUUCCUGAUCUACUUUACGAGCUCAGGAACUUCUUUGUGCAUGCCCCUGAGUUACUUGUUGACAUUGAGAAGGUGCUUGAAAUAGAUGACAUGACUGAUAUAGUCUAUUUGAUAGAGUUCUUUUUUCCAUUCGCCUUGCCCAAACUUGUCGACUUAGUGAGGUUCUUCCGUCAUAUCACGCAGUUCAACAAAAUGUUCGAGACCUACGCUGAGAGAUGAUUUCUCCAGAGGGAGAUGAUUUUGCCAGAGGGAGAUGAUUUCUUCAUAGGGACAUGUCAGAUCCGAGGAUCCAAAGACAUUGUCCUUUUGGUGUUGGAGAGGGACAUUGGUGAACCUCUUCCUGGUGUUAAGUACUCCUCCGUCCCAAAAUAAGUGUCUCAACCUUAGUACAACUUUGUACUAAAGUUAGUGCAAAGUUGAGACGCUUAUUUUGGGACGGAGGGAGUAUAUAGAGGAUAAAGACUUUUUGACUGCUGAGUUUAGUGCAGAAGAGACAGAAUGUUAUUUCAGAUGAGAACAACAAAGCAUCCGGACCUAAUUGCCCCUGCUCUGCUGGAUUCUACAAAUGUUUUGGUGGCAGAGAAAGUUUGGGAUUAUUAAUAUUUGCUACCCUAUUUCUGAAGAGGAAACAUAAAAUCAUGACUGACAAUUACACGACUGGGAUGUUGACUGCCUCAAUUGGAAGAUAACUUCAGGAGAAGAAUCUCUCUUGUUCUCAGUAGCAUUUGAGCACAAUGGCAUGUUCAUUGGACAAGGAGUGAACAAAUCAUAUAUUGGCAACACUUAUUGUGAAUUUGACUAUUGCCAUGCUGACACUUGGACCUUAGAUAUGUUGAAGUUUUGCUUGGACAAGUUGGAUUACUCCCAUGGUUUUCCUCAUCGGCAAGUGUACUGGUGCUUGCCAGGCAAGGAAAUUGUAGAUGGCCUUGUUUGUGUGGAUACUGAAGAGGUAAUUGCUGCUAUGGUCAAUGCAAGCAAAGAAUGCAAGACACUUUUGUUGAUAGUGGAUGAGGAGAAUAAGAUCAUAACUUUGUAUGAUGAUGUGAUCAUAGAUGGCUCCCCUCCACCAAGGGUAAUUACUCCAAGGAAAUUGCCAAGGUCUGCUGAAGGAGGAGAGGAAGAAGAGAAUUGAGAAGCAAGAGAGGAAGAAGAGCAGGGAGAGGGAGAUCAUGGACAUGAAGCAUAGCAGGGAGAGGGAGAAGAACAAAGAGAGGAUGAAGUUCAGGUAGAGGAAACAGAGCAAGGAGAGGGAGAGGGAGAGGAUGUAGGAGAAGAAACUAACAGUGAUUUUUAUGAGUGAAUAUGAUGUUGAAGUUCUAGAUGAUGAUUUGUUUGUGGAGAAUAUGGAUAUAUAUGUCAAUGAUAAUAAUGGGAAGGAAGGGUACAUUGAAGAAGAAGACCCUUUAGAUGAUGAUGAUCUCAACCUAAACAAAGAUGAAUUGUCAAAGUUGCAGUACACUUUCAAAGCCUACAAUCCAGAAGUGGUUUUGAAUAAUCCAGUUUUCAGGGUUGGUUUGGUUUUGGUUACAUGAAAGAGCUGAGAAUGGCUUUGGAUGCAUACACUGUUAGGAAUAGAGUGAAGAUAUAUAAGCGAAGAAAUAAAUUUGAAAGCCUUAAUGCAGUUUGCUUAAAAGGUUGUCCUUGGCAAUCAAAAGCUUCAAAAGACAACAGGACUAGUAGCAUUGUGAUAAGGCAGUACAAUGGCACUCACAAAUGUCAGAAAUCAUUUGAUUCCAAGUGUUUCACAGUUAAAAUUCUUGCAUUGAGGAAUUCAGAGACAACCAGAAGAUGGAUUUGGGUACAUUUGGUAGCAAAGUUCAAAGAGAGUUCAAACUGCUACCAUACAAGAUGAAAUUGGGAAGGGCCAGGAAAGCAACUCUCAACAUUAUUCAUGGGGAUGAAGCAGAGCAAUACAACAUGUUGUGGGACUAUGGGCAAGAACUCAAAAGAGCUAAUCCUGGCAACAAAUUCAUAGUUUCCACUACCAAGGCUAAGGAGAAGGAUGAUGCAUUGCCAAAGGAUCACCUCUCCUCACUCUAUUGGUCAUAUGAUGCUUGCAAGAGAGCUCUCCUAAAGGGCUGCAUGCCAAUUAUAUUUGUGGAUGGCCGCCACUUGAAAAGUAGGUACAAAGGUAUAUUGUUGAUAGCUGUGGGAAUUGACCCAAUGAUUGCAUUUAUCCAAUAGCUAUGAGAAUGAUAGAGGUUGAAUCCACUUAUGGGAAUGAUUUUUGUCAACAUUGGAAAAUGAUCUGAACAUUAUCAACACAAGCCCAUACACCAUCAUGAGUGACAAGCAGAAGGGUUUGAUAAAUGUUGUUGAAAAAGUUUUCCUAGAUGCAGAGCAUAGGUUUUGUGUUAGGCACAUAUACCAAAACUUCCACAAGUUGUUCAAAGGUGAGACAUUGAAGAAUCAGUUGUAGGCCAUUGCCAGAUCCACAAACUUACCAAGAUGGAAUGAGAACAGAGAGAAAAUGAGAGGCUUGCAUUGAUGCUUACAACUAGCUAGAGGGCAAGCCAUCUAAUCAAUGGGUGAAAAAUUUCUUCAGUGAUUUUCCUAAAUGUGAUAUUCUUCUGAACAACAUGUCUGAAGUGUAUAAUAGUUACAUACUUGAAGCUAGAGAGCUCUGUAUUGUGUCAAUAUUGGAGUGCAUCCUUGCAAAGAUAUCACCGAGGCAUGCAAGCAAACGGAGAGAAGCAGUUGAGAAAUGGAAAGGAAUAAUUUGCCUAAAAAGUGGGAAGAAGUUAGAGAAAAAUGCAGAAUUUUCUACCAAUUGUUUUCCAACAAAUGCUAGCAAUAGAAUAUUUCAUGUGCAGUCUGAGCCCAAGACAUACAUUGUUGACACCAUAGGAAGGACUUGUAAGUGCAAAAGGGAUUGCCUUGCAGUCAUGCAAUUGUAGUGUGUAGGGCUGUAAUAAUUGACCCUGAAGACCUGGUUCACAAAUGCUAUAUAUAGUAGAGUCAUAUUUGCAAGCAUAUGGAUACUUUAUCAUGCCCUUAAGAGAUAGGGCCCACUGGGAGAAUAUGGAUGGAACAUAUAUUCACCCACCAGUUUUCACAAAACAGAUGUGCAGGCCACCUAAGAAUAGGAGAAAACUCCUGAAGAGAAAAAGAAGGAUGGAACAUUGUAUCUGAAUAAGAAAAGGGGUGGCUAUGCAUUGUUCAGUUCGUGGCAAAGAUGACCACAAUAGCAGGGGGCAUGAGAAAUAUAUGCAGAGGGAACAAGUGGAACAACAAGACGAGGAAGAAGAGGAUGAAUUUGCAUGUGAAGCUAUUCUGCAUGUCAUUGGCCAUUUUGCAUUGCAGACUGAACCCUAGCUUGGACCCAAUUAAUGACAGGACAAGCAUGGUUUACAAGAUGGGAUAGGAGGAGAGACCAUAUGUUACAAAUAUCAGACCACCUAGACCACUGCCAGAGGAGUCAAGCUUUGUAGCUGCAGCUUGGGAUUUGAUCCUUCAAAGGACGAGGCAAACAACUGCAACAACUGCUGGUAGAAGGGCAAGCAAAGGUAAAAGAAGGGCAACAAUAGCAGUUCAAACAAAUGCAGAUGAGGUAGGUACCAGUUCAAGUGCAGGUAGAGUAGCGAAGAAAGCAAGAGGUGGAAGAGCUGGGAGGAGUGCAAGAGGAGUAGGACCAGAAGCAACUGCAAGAGGAGUAGGACCAGAAGCAGCUAGAAGAGGAGCUGGGGAAGGAGGAAGAAUAGUUGAAGGUUAUCCUCUAUGGCAACUGAUGUUUGGACAUGAUGGAGCAAGGAAUGCAAUCCCAGACCUGAAUGAAGAGAUUCCAAUGACACAGAAUGCUCCUAGGACUCCAUAACAUUAGUUCAUGUAUGCCAUGCUCCAUUAACUGCAAAAAAUGUCACUGUUCAUGUAUGAACUAGAACAACAACUUUUGUUAUGCAUGACCUUAAUCUUGGCCAUGAUGGA